rnacentral:rRNA from 1 species
AGUGAACGCUGGCGGUAGGCCUAACACAUGCAAGUCGAACGGCAGCACAGUAAGAGCUUGCUCUUACGGGUGGCGAGUGGCGGACGGGUGAGGAAUACAUCGGAAUCUACUUUUUCGUGGGGGAUAACGUAGGGAAACUUCCGCUAAUACCGCAUACGACCUACGGGUGAAAGCAGGGGAUCUUCGGCCCUUGCGCGAUUGAAUGAGCCGAUGUCGGAUUAGCUAGUUGGCGGGGUACAGGCCCACCAAGGCGACGAUCCGUAGCUGGUCUGAGAGGAUGAUCAGCCACACUGGAACUGAGACACGGUCCAGACUCCUACGGGAGGCAGCAGUGGGGAAUAUUGGACAUUGGGCGCAAGCCUGAUCCAGCCAUACCGCGUGGGUGAAGAAGGCCUUCGGGUUGUAAAGCCCUUUUGUUGGGAAAGAAAAGCAGCAGGUUAAUACCCCGCUGUUCUGACGGUACCCAAAGAAUAAGCACCGGCUAACUUCGUG